rnacentral:rRNA from 1 species
ACUCGGAAUCACUGGGCGUAAAGGACGCGUAGGCGGGAUGCCAAGUCUGAUGUGAAAUCCUAUGGCUUAACCAUAGAACUGCAUUGGAAACUGGCAACCUAGAGUAUGGGAGGGGGAGAUGGAAUUAGUGGUGUAGGGGUAAAAUCCGUAGAUAUCACUAGGAAUACCUAAAGCGAAGGCGAUCUCCUGGAACAUAACUGACGCUAAGGCGUGAAAGCGUGGGGAGCAAACAGGAUUAGAUACCCUGGUAGUCCACGCCCUAAACGAUGUUCACUAGUCGUCGGGAUGCUAGUCAUCUCGGUGAUGCACUUAACAGAUUAAGUGAACCGCCUGGGGAGUACGGUCGCAAGA